CCCUGAAAGACUGAGGAAGGCGCGGACUGAAAACUCUCUUUGUACUCGCGCCCUUCACAGGAAGAGUUUAGUGAAGUGGAGACAAAAGCUGCCUGUAGCUGAUUCAAAGGAGAACACGAAAUAAGGAUUUGGGGGACAGAGAGACAGUCCUCUCAGGAGAACAAGGGACGAAGAAACAGAGCUACGGAGAUAUGAGCUUGUGAGGUUCAAUAGGGCAUUUCUUUUUCUUAUGGCAUUUGUGUGCUGUGCGCUCAGUUGUGUCCGACUCUUUAAGACCUCGUGGACUGUAGCCCACCGGCCUCCUCUGCCCAUGGGAUUCUCCAGGCAAGAAUACUGGAGUGAGGUGCCAUUUCCUCCUCCAGAGCAUCUUUGCCACCCAGGGAUGGGACCCGAGUUUGUUACGUCACCUCCGUUGGCAGGGUGGCUGAAGAUAUAAUUAAAUAAGAUGAGGUCAUGCUGAAAUAGGGUGGGCUCUUAAUCCAGAAUGACUAAUGUCCUUAUAAAAGAUGGAGAAGAGACACAGACACACACAAGGGAAAGAAGACUAUGUUACAACAGAGGCAGAGAUUGGAGGGAUGUCUCUACAAGCCAAGGUAAGCCAAGGACUGCUGGAGGCCAGAGAGGUAAGGCUUUUCCCUUAUAGGUGUCAGCAGGCAUAUGGCCCUCCUGACGCCUUGAUUUAGGACUUGUAAACUCCAGAACUGUAAGUGAAUAAAGUUUUGUUGUUGUCAUGUUAAAAAAAUAAUGUUCCUGUAUAGCAUUUAAUCUACCCACUUGGCAGAUGAUCCUCAAAACCUUCCAUGCUGGGAAGUGAGGCAUCCAAGAGGCAUUUCUUCCUUGCAUUAAAUGUGAAGCCAGGCCCAGCACUAUGUUUCACCAGAAGGCUUGGCUGUUGAACAUAACCCUUUCUGUCUGCUGGUUUAUAAACCCAACUCAACAUUUUGAAGUGAGUUUUGUUUCCAGAAUUUUAUGGCCGUGUGGUAUUUUUCAAAGCAUUCAUCCAAGAAAAACCUAGCUAAAAACUACCUACGAUAAUACCACCCUGUCUCCCAGUUUUUGCCUUGAAAAUCAAAUGCAUUUGUGUUACUGUGCCCCCUAGGUAGAAAUUGUCCCUAGGUACACUCUAGUAAUACAGAAAAGGCCAGUGGUAGCUGAAGGACUAUUUUCCCCAAACAACUGUACAUUGAGAAUGGACACAACCUCUAAAAAUUGUGUAACCAUAUAAUCUAUCAUCUUGUAAGACUAUGUAAAUUAACAUCCAGUCAGUUUGUCAAGAUAAUCAGCAAGAAUUGCACGUGAAUUUGAUGAAUAUUACGUAGAUAUAUGAGGCGAAGAAGAUCAAUGUGUGCAAUUGAAAUAUUAACAAUCAGUGGUAGCUCUAACCCAGGAAUUCUACUGCAUUAAUUAGGCACGGUGGCUUAAGGGAAGAAAUGUGUGCGAGUACAUGGCUUCCAAUUCCAUUCAACUAUUUAUAUUGUGAUCUUGAGGAAAUCUCUCAUCUCCACAGAAGCUUAAAACAUCUAUGACAUAUAGUAAUCAUUAAUUAUAAGGGUGUAAAUUUACCUACAAUAGGACCUGACACAGAGAAGCCCCUUGAUGGAGCUUUAGGCCAUCCUAACUAACUUUUAAGUUAUACUUUUAAAGUAUACACAAACACAGAAAUGCAUUUUUGAAAGGAAAAAAAAAAGGAAAAAUAAGUAUCUCUUAUGAAUGCCAAUACCAAAAAAUGAUCAUUAUAAGAUUUUGUUGUAUUUGACAUUUUGUAUAGAUCUCAAUAUUUUACUUGUGACAAUAUUUCAAAAUAUAUUUUAAAUAAAUGUGGGCAUCAUAUAGUUCUGUACACUUAUUUUUAAUUUAGCAUUAAGAAUUUUCUGAUGUUUUCAAACAUGAUUUAAGUUGAAAACAAAACUUAGAGCACAUCAAAUAACCACAGAUACUUUUGUCACCACAAAUACUGAAUUAAAAAAAUAGCAAAUAUAAAGUUAAAGGAAAAAUAUAAGUGAACAUACAAGAUCAGAGGGACUCAGUUAGGAUAGAAAGAAGAAAUAAUCAAAAUAUUUAGAACUUAAAUGGCAUAGGGGACUGUAUCUUUAAGAAUCCAUGUCACCAGGGAGAUGCUGGGCUUGGUGUUAUGCUUUUAUUUGCUCAAUUGUUGGAUGAGCUGCGAGAUCUUAAAGGAAAGGUUUAGUUUGGUAGGGCAAUGAAGGACUCUCAUAGCAAUAUCUAUUCACAAACAAGUAUGGGAGCGUAGGGGAGGGGAAACUUCCCCCUUACCUUCUUGAGUUCUUUCAGCUGGUGGAGUACUUAAAUUGACACAAGACAGAUUAAAAGGAGGAAAAAAAUUUAAUUUGUGCACAUGGAGGGAUCAAAGAAGUAAGACCCAAAAAGUAUCCAAAGUAAGGAAUUGUUAUACUACUUAUAUGAAAAAAAUAUAUAUUUGCAAUUGAUGGGACAAAGAAAUUUGGGGUCCUUAAUUAGUAAAGAAUCUAAACAACUUGGGCUUGGAAUAGUCAAUUAGUAAGGAAGUAACAAGGUAUGUUUUUACAGGCUUCUUGACCCCAAUUCCCUAUCUGUGGCGGCAAGGGCAUUGUUAUGUUUUACAUAAGAGAUUUGCUUCCUGCUUUCAAGGACUCAGAAAGUAGGGUCGAAGUGUCCAUCUUGCAUUGGCUGUUUCUUAAGUAAUCUUAAUUCAAAAGAAUCAAUAUAUUGCUUUUGCAUAUUUUGGGUUGGCUCUAAGCCCCAGUAGUGGUAGUGAACUAUUUUGACAACCAGAAGGCAGAACAGUAGAACCUAGCAUGGUCUCAUCCAUGGUAGGAAGCAGACAAACCAGGGGGACCUUAUGAGCAGAAACUGCUCAAGGUCCUGUCUAGGGACCUGCUAUAAAGUGAGUAAGUGACUAUCUCAUUCUCUCUUCCUUUGAUCUGAAAAUAUUAAAAAUUGAGGAUAAUAUUCCACUGGUCUGGCUUAGGUCAAAACAUCUAUCCUGUGGCUAAGGGUGUGUGGAGCACCUAAUCUCAUGUUUUAUGUCCAGUGGGGGACAGAUUUUUGGAAGUAUAAUACCUGAAACAAGAUGGAAUGAAUAUUGUCAUUUGUGUGAUAUAAUGAUUCAUUGAACUGUUUCCCAUUGUUGGACAAGUAAGAUGUUUCUAAUUUUGUUAUUAUAUAUAACACCAUACCACAUUAUAGAGUUUUCUAGACUGAAGGAAGAGCAAAUGCAAAUGACUUGAUGAAGAAACAAUUUUACCAUGUUUAAUGAAAGAAAUAAAAGCAGUGUUGCUGGAGGUGAAUGAAGAAAGUUAAGAGUGAACGUGAAAGUGAAGCUGCUCAGGCGUGUUCAACUCUUUGUGACCCCAUGGUCUGUAGCCUGCCAGGCUCCUCCACCCAUGGGAUUUUCCAGGCAAGAAUACUGGAGUGGGUUGCCAUUUCCUUCUCCAGGGGAUCUUCCUGACCUAGGGAUCAAAUGCUAGUCUCCCGCAGACAGGCAGACUCUUUUUCGUCUGAGCCAUCGAAAAUGCAGCCACUUCUGUGCUAGGGAAGAAGUUUAGAUUGUAUUUAGUUACUGAAAUAUUUUAAACAGGAUAGGACAUUUUAAUUAAUUUGCUAAGUUUGCCAUUACAAAGCUCCACAAAUUGAGGGGCUCAAACAACAGAAAUUUAUUUCUUCCCAGUCUGGAGGCUAGAAGUCCAAAUCAAAGUGUGGGCAGGGUUGAUUUCUUCUGAGGGCCUCUCCUUGACUUGCAGAUGGCCAUCUUCUUUCAGCAUCUUUUCACCAUCUUUCCUUUGUGUCUAUCUGUGUCUUAAUGUCCUUUUGCAAAGACACCAGUUGUAUUGAAUUAGGAUCCACCCAUAUGACCUUAAUUUCUUCUUUAAAAGUCCUGUCUCUAAAUACACACACAUUCUGAGGUCCUGGAGGCUGAGAUUUCAAUGUAUGAAUUUGGGGAGGCAAAAUUCAGCCCAUAGCAGAUGUGACCUGAUUCCCAAUUUUAAAAAAGUACUUCAAAUACUUCUCUACUUGCUUAGCGGAAAACAGAUUGUACAGAAACAGAAGUGGAAACAAGAAGAUGAGUUAGAUGUGUUCAAAAUAAUUCAGGUGAAGGAUGAUAGACACUUGAACAAAGGCUAUGUCAGAAAAUGACAGGUUUGGGAUGAAUGUAGAGGAGAUAGAACCAACUGUUCUUCCCAGUAAUAAGUGCACUAGUUAUAGUCAAGUAAAACAGUACCAAAUAGUCUCAUGUACAGAGAUUUAAAUACAAUAGAACUUAUUUCCCACUCAUGAACCAUAAGUAUGUAUAUGACUAAUUAUUUCCCAAUGCAAGUUCUUUGGAACGUGAUUAAUAGAAUCCUAAAAAGAAUUAUUGAGGAAAAUGGAUGCUAUGAUCUCUUAGGUUGAAAAAUUCUGGUUUAAACAAGACAGUCUGAUUUAUUUACUGACAGACUUCUUGGAGUCUUUAAAUACUUUAAAUACCCACACCACACCUAACUUUCUCAAAAUUACUGAUCAUGUAGCUUCUU